AAGGUAGAGCUAGUCCAACCCAAUGUGAACCAUACCAAACUGUUGCCUCGGCGGGGUCACGCCCCGGGUGCGUCGCAGCCCCGGAACCAGGCGCCCGCCGGAGGGACCAACCAAACUCUUUACUGUAGUCCCCUCGCGGACGUUAUUUCUUACAGCUCUGAGCAAAAAAUUCAAAAUGAAUCAAAACUUUCAACAACGGAUCUCUUGGUUCUGGCAUCGAUGAAGAACGCAGCGAAAUGCGAUAAGUAAUGUGAAUUGCAGAAUUCAGUGAAUCAUCGAAUCUUUGAACGCACAUUGCGCCCGCCAGUAUUCUGGCGGGCAUGCCUGUCCGAGCGUCAUUUCAACCCUCGAACCCCUCCGGGGGGUCGGCGUUGGGGAUCGGGAACCCCUCAGACGGGAUCCCGGCCCCGAAAUACAGUGGCGGUCUCGCCGCAGCCUCUCCUGCGCAGUAGUUUGCACAACUCGCACCGGGAGCGCGGCGCGUCCACGUCCGUAAAACACCCAACUUUCUGAAAUGUUGACCUCGGAUCAGGUAGGAAUACCCGCUGAACUUAAGCAUAUCAUAAGGCCGGAGGAA
rnacentral:rRNA from 1 species